AUAAUGCUUUUAAAAAGGAUAAAUGAACAUGAUGAUUUGGAGCUCGCAUGAUUCGUGAUUAACGGCUCUGCGUAAUCAGGACUUGCAACACCCUGAUUGCUCCAU